AUUCAAAUAUCUUAUAUAGAGUAUAACAUUGAAGCUGUUAUUGAGAUAGAAUUAUCUUUGAAUA
rnacentral:tRNA from 1 species